GCGUUUUUGAGUGAGUGUGGACGACGCUGGAUCUUCUCACCGGCUGCCAUGAUCGAACAAACAGCAGAAAUUAAGUUUGAAACUGUCGCUGGCGUCACCGUGGCCCGGUACACACUAAGCCGACAGCAGGUGGAGCAACGUCGGCCACUCGGUCAGGCGAAGUCUGUAUAUGUGGACACUCACUAUUUGCCCUCUCUACAGUUUCUCUUGUCUGUCCCCCACAAGCAGAGACCCACUGAUAGACCGCUGUUACCAGUUCUAGGGCUGACACAUCCGCACACGUCCACAUCACAAGUGUAUCCUGUAAAGAUCAAGGAGGAGCAUCACAACAGUUUCGUUGAAGUAGACAUUCUAGUAUAAGCUUGAUGAGUACACACCAGGUUUUGCAGCUAAUGCAUGCCAAAGGAGGAGCAGCUAGUUGCAAGAUGCAUCCUCUGCUGGACAGUUUAAAU
rnacentral:lncRNA from 1 species